rnacentral:tRNA from 1 species
GGAGUUUACUUUUGUAAAUGAGCGCCUGCUUUGCACACAGGAGGUCAGCGGUUCGAUCCCGCUAGUCUCCACCA